GGAUCCGUGGCGCAAUGGUAGCACGUCUGACUCUAGAUCUUGCGUGUUCGAUUCAUGUCGGGUUCA
rnacentral:tRNA from 1 species